rnacentral:pre_miRNA from 1 species
UGGACAGAUUAUUGUAUUCGACCGUAUUCACGGCGUGAAACAGAGGAUUACACUAUUUUUAAACGGAAAGUGAAUCAAUUAACAUAAUAGACUCCU